CCUACGGGUGACAGCAGUGAGGAAUAUUGGUCAAUGGACGCAAGUCUGAACCAGCCAUGUCGCGUGCAGGAUGACGGCCCUACGGGUUGUAAACUGCUUUUGGACGGGAAUAAAAGGAGGCACGUGUACCUCUUUGUAUGUAUAGUAUGAGUAAGGAUCGGCUAACUCCGUGCCCGCAGCCGCGGGAAUACGGGGGAUUCGGGCGUUAUCCGGAUUUAUUGGGUUUAAAGGGGGCGUAUGCGGUUGGGUAAGUGAGCGGUGAAAGGCCGCGGCUCAACCGCGGGACUGCAGUUGAAACUGGUAGCCUGGAGUGCAGAUGCGGCAGGCGGAAUGAAUGGUGUAGCGGUGAAAUGCUUAGAUAUCAUGCAGAACUCCGAUUGCGAAGGCAGCUUGCUA
rnacentral:rRNA from 1 species